rnacentral:rRNA from 2 species
UUGCAGUGCGGCAGCCUAUACAUGCAGUCGACGAGCUUCCGUUGAAUGACGUGCUUGCACUGAUUUCAACAAUGAAGCGAGUGGCGAACUGGUGAGUAACACGUGGGGAAUCUGCCCAGAAGCAGGGGAUAACACUUGGAAACAGGUGCUAAUACCGUAUAACAACAAAAUCCGCAUGGAUUUUGUUUGAAAGGUGGCUUCGGCUAUCACUUCUGGAUGAUCCCGCGGCGUAUUAGUUAGUUGGUGAGGUAAAGGCCCACCAAGACGAUGAUACGUAGCCGACCUGAGAGGGUAAUCGGCCACAUUGGGACUGAGACACGGCCCAAACUCCUACGGGAGGCAGCAGUAGGGAAUCUUCCACAAUGGACGAAAGUCUGAUGGAGCAAUGCCGCGUGAGUGAAGAAGGGUUUCGGCUCGUAAAACUCUGUUGUUAAAGAAGAACACCUUUGAGAGUAACUGUUCAAGGGUUGACGGUAUUUAACCAGAAAGCCACGGCUAACUACGUGCCAGCAGCCGCGGUAAUACGUAGGUGGCAAGCGUUGUCCGGAUUUAUUGGGCGUAAAGCGAGCGCAGGCGGUUUUUUAAGUCUGAUGUGAAAGCCUUCGGCUUAACCGGAGAAGUGCAUCGGAAACUGGGAGACUUGAGUGCAGAAGAGGACAGUGGAACUCCAUGUGUAGCGGUGGAAUGCGUAGAUAUAUGGAAGAACACCAGUGGCGAAGGCGGCUGUCUAGUCUGUAACUGACGCUGAGGCUCGAAAGCAUGGGUAGCGAACAGGAUUAGAUACCCUGGUAGUCCAUGCCGUAAACGAUGAGUGCUAAGUGUUGGAGGGUUUCCGCCCUUCAGUGCUGCAGCUAACGCAUUAAGCACUCCGCCUGGGGAGUACGACCGCAAGGUUGAAACUCAAAGGAAUUGACGGGGGCCCGCACAAGCGGUGGAGCAUGUGGUUUAAUUCGAAGCUACGCGAAGAACCUUACCAGGUCUUGACAUCUUCUGCCAAUCUUAGAGAUAGACGUUCCCUUCGGGGACAGAUGACAGUGUGCAUGGUGUCGUCAGCUCGUGUCGUGAGAUGUGGGGUAGUCCCGCACGAGCGCACCCUAUAUCAGUGCCAGCAUUCAGUGGCACCUCUGGUGAGAACUGCCGGUGAACAAUGAGAAGGUGGGAAUGAACGUCGAUCAUCAUGCGCCUAUGACCUGGCUUAACAACGGGUCCUCUACAAAUGAAACACG